ACGGGAGGCAGCAGUGGGGAAUAUUGCACAAUGGGCGCAAGCCUGAUGCAGCGAUACCGCGUGAGGGAAGAAGGUUUUCGGAUUGUAAACCUCUGUCAACAGGGACGAAAAUGACGGUACCUGUGAAGGAAGCUCCGGCUAACUACGUGCCAGCAGCCGCGGUAAUACGUAGGGAGCAAGCGUUAUCCGGAAUUACUGGGUGUAAAGGGAGUGUAGGCGGGACUGUAAGUCAGAUGUGAAAUAUGCCGGCUCAACUGGCAGACUGCAUUUGAAACUGCGGUUCUUGAGUGAAGUAGAGGUAAGCGGAAUUCCUAGUGUAGCGGUAAAAUGCGUAGAUAUUAGGAGGAACAUCAGUGGCGAAGGCGGCUUACUGGGAUUUAACUGACGCUGAGGCUCGAAAGCGUGGGGAGCAAACAGGAUUAGAUACCCUGGUA
rnacentral:rRNA from 1 species